rnacentral:misc_RNA from 1 species
GAUGAAGAACGCAGCGAAAUGCGAUAAGUAAUGUGAAUUGCAGAAUUCAGUGAAUCAUCGAAUCUUUGAACGCAUCUUGCGCUCCUUGGUAUUCCUUGGAGCAUGCCUGUUUGAGUAUCAUGAGCAAAUCUCAAAGUCAAUUCCUUUUGUUAAUUCAAUUGGUUUUGCUUUGGACUUGGAGGUCUUGCAGAUUUCACAGUCUGCUCCUCUUAAAUGCAUUAGCUGGAUCUCAGUAAUUAUGCUUGGUUCCACUCGGCGUGAUAAGUAUCACUCGCUGAGGACACUGUUAAAAAGGUGGCCAGGAAAAUACUGAUUGAACCGCUUCUAACGGUCUAUUAAGUUAGACAAUUGACCCUUAAGUUUGAUCUCAAAUCAGGUAGGACUACCCGCUGAACUUAAGCAUAUCAAUAAGCGAGGA